rnacentral:rRNA from 1 species
GACGAACGCUGGCGGCGUGCUUAACACAUGCAAGUCGAACGGAAAGGCCCUGCUUUUGUGGGGUGCUCGAGUGGCGAACGGGUGAGUAACACGUGAGUAACCUGCCCUUGACUUUGGGAUAACUUCAGGAAACUGGGGCUAAUACCGGAUAGGAGCUCCUGCUGCAUGGUGGGGGUUGGAAAGUUUCGGCGGUUGGGGAUGGACUCGCGGCUUAUCAGCUUGUUGGUGGGGUAGUGGCUUACCAAGGCUUUGACGGGUAGCCGGCCUGAGAGGGUGACCGGCCACAUUGGGACUGAGAUACGGCCCAGACUCCUACGGGAGGCAGCAGUGGGGAAUAUUGCACAAUGGGCGGAAGCCUGAUGCAGCAACGCCGCGUGCGGGAUGACGGCCUUCGGGUUGUAAACCGCUUUCGCCUGUGACGAAGCGUGAGUGACGGUAAUGGGUAAAGAAGCACCGGCUAACUACGUGCCAGCAGCCGCGGUGAUACGUAGGGUGCGAGCGUUGUCCGGAUUUAUUGGGCGUAAAGGGCUCGUAGGUGGUUGAUCGCGUCGGAAGUGUAAUCUUGGGGCUUAACCCUGAGCGUGCUUUCGAUACGGGUUGACUUGAGGAAGGUAGGGGAGAAUGGAAUUCCUGGUGGAGCGGUGGAAUGCGCAGAUAUCAGGAGGAACACCAGUGGCGAAGGCGGUUCUCUGGGCCUUUCCUGACGCUGAGGAGCGAAGGCGUGGGGAGCGAACAGGCUUAGAUACCCUGGUAGUCCACGCUGUAAACGGUGGGUACUAGGUGUGGGGUCCAUUCCACGGGUUCCGUGCCGUAGCUAACGCUUUAAGUACCCCGCCUGGGGAGUACGGCCGCAAGGCUAAAACUCAAAGGAAUUGACGGGGCCCCGCAUAAGCGGCGGAGCAUGCGGAUUAAUUCGAUGCAACGCGUAGAACCUUACCUGGGUUUGACGUGGAUCGGGAGUGCUCAGAGAUGGGUGUGCCUCUUUUGGGGUCGGUUCACAGGUGGUGCAUGGCUGUCGUCAGCUCGUGUCGUGAGAUGUUGGGUUAAGUCCCGCAACGAGCGCAACCCUUGUUCACUGUUGCCAGCACGUUAUGGUGGGGACUCAGUGGAGACCGCCGGGGUCAACUCGGAGGAAGGUGGGGAUGACGUCAAGUCAUCAUGCCCCUUAUGUCCAGGGCUUCACGCAUGCUACAAUGGCUGGUACAGAGAGUGGCGAGCCUGUGAGGGUGAGCGAAUCUCGGAAAGCCGGUCUCAGUUCGGAUUGGGGUCUACAACUCGACCUCAUGAAGUCGGAGUCGCUAGUAAUCGCAGAUCAGCAACGCUGCGGUGAAUACGUUCCCGGGGCU